AAAUUGAAGAGUUUGAUCAUGGCUCAGAUUGAACGCUGGCGGCAGGCCUAACACAUGCAAGUCGAACGGUAACAGGAAGCAGCUUGCUGCUUCGCUGACGAGUGGCGGACGGGUGAGUAAUGUCUGGGAAACUGCCUGAUGGAGGGGGAUAACUACUGGAAACGGUAGCUAAUACCGCAUAAUGUCGCAAGACCAAAGAGGGGGACCUUCGGGCCUCUUGCCAUCGG
rnacentral:rRNA from 1 species